GCAUAUCAAUAAGCGGAGGAAAAGAAACCAACAGGGAUUGCCCUAGUAACGGCGAGUGAAGCGGCAACAGCUCAAAUUUGAAAUCUGGCCUUCGGGUCCGAGUUGUAAUUUGUAGAGGAUGCUUUUGGCGCGGUGCCUUCCGAGUUCCCUGGAACGGGACGCCUUAGAGGGUGAGAGCCCCGUACGGUUGGACACCAAGCCUCUGUAAAGCUCCUUCGACGAGUCGAGUAGUUUGGGAAUGCUGCUCUAAAUGGGAGGUAAAUUUCUUCUAAAGCUAAAUACCGGCCAGAGACCGAUAGCGCACAAGUAGAGUGAUCGAAAGAUGAAAAGCACUUUGAAAAGAGGGUUAAAUAGCACGUGAAAUUGUUGAAAGGGAAGCGUUUACGGCCAGACCUUUUCCUGGCGGAUCAUCUGGUGUUCUCACCAGUGCACUCCGCCAGGUUUAGGCCAGCAUCGGCUCCCGUAGGGGGAUAAAAGCAGUGGGAAAGUAGCUCCCUCGGGAGUGUUAUAGCCCGCUGCACAAUACCCUUACAGGGGCCGAGGACCGCGCUCUUGCAAGGAUGCUGGCGUAAUGGUCGUCAACGACCCGUCUUGAAACACGGACCAAGGAGUCGAACAUUUGUGCGAGUGUUUGGGUGUCAAACCCUCACGCGUAAUGAAAGUGAACGGAGGUGAGAGCCCUCUAGGGGGUGCAUCAUCGACCGAUCCUGAUGUCUUCGGAUGGAUUUGAGUAAGAGCAUAACUGUUCGGACCCGAAAGAUGGUGAACUAUGCGUGGAUAGGGUGAAGCCAGAGGAAACUCUGGUGGAGGCUCGCAGCGGUUCUGACGUGCAAAUCGAUCGUCAAAUCUGCGCAUGGGGGCGAAAGACUUAUCGAACCAUCUAGUAGCUGGUUACCGCCG
rnacentral:rRNA from 1 species